rnacentral:rRNA from 1 species
GACGAACGCUGGCGGCGUGCUUAACACAUGCAAGUCGAACGGAAAGGCCCAGCUUGCUGGGUGCUCGAGUGGCGAACGGGUGAGUAACACGUGGGUGAUCUGCCCCUAACUUCGGGAUAAGCUUGGGAAACUGGGUCUAAUACCGGAUAGGACAAUCGUUUAGUGUCGGUUGUGGAAAGUUUUUUCGGUUAGGGAUGAGCCCGCGGCCUAUCAGCUUGUUGGUGGGGUAAUGGCCUACCAAGGCGUCGACGGGUAGCCGGCCUGAGAGGGUGGACGGCCACAUUGGGACUGAGAUACGGCCCAGACUCCUACGGGAAGCAGCAGUGGGGAAUAUUGCACAAUGGGCGCAAGCCUGAUGCAGCGACGCCGCGUGGGGGAUGACGGCCUUCGGGUUGUAAACCUCUUUCGACAGGGACGAAGCUUUGGUGACGGUACCUGUAUAAGAAGCACCGGCUAACUACGUG